rnacentral:rRNA from 1 species
GAUGAACGCUGGCGGCGUGCCUAAUACAUGCAAGUCGAGCGAACGGACGAGAAGCUUGCUUUUCUGAUGUUAGCGGCGGACGGGUGAGUAACACGUGGAUAACCUACCUAUAAGACUGGGAUAACUUCGGGAAACCGGAGCUAAUACCAGAUAAUAUUUUGAACCGCAUGGUUCAUAAGUGAAAGACGGUCUUGCUGUCACUUAUAGAUGGAUCCGCGCUGCAUUAGCUAGUUGGUAAGGUAACGGCUUACCAAGGCAACGAUGCAUAGCCGACCUGAGAGGGUGAUCGGCCACACUGGAACUGAGACACGGUCCAGACUCCUACGGGAGGCAGCAGUAGGGAAUCUUCCGCAAUGGGCGAAAGCCUGACGGAGCAACGCCGCGUGAGUGAUGAAGGUCUUCGGAUCGUAAAACUCUGUUAUUAGGGAAGAACAUAUGUGUAAGUAACUGUGCACAUCUUGACGGUACCUAAUCAGAAAGCCACGGCUAACUACGUG